AAUAUUGCACAAUGGGCGCAAGCCUGAUGCAGCCAUGCCGCGUGUGUGAAGAAGGCCUUCGGGUUGUAAAGCACUUUCAGUCGUGAGGAAGGUGGUAGUGUUAAUAGCACUAUCAUUUGACGUUAGCGACAGAAGAAGCACCGGCUAACUCCGUGCCAGCAGCCGCGGUAAUACGGAGGGUGCGAGCGUUAAUCGGAAUUACUGGGC
rnacentral:rRNA from 1 species